rnacentral:tRNA from 1 species
GCCCUAGUAGCUCAGUAUAGAGCGCCGGCCUUGUAAGCCGGAGGCGGGGGCUAAAUUCCUCCCUAGUGCU